CGUUGGUUAAAUGAACGGAUGCAGGAUACAGAGGGCCUGUGGAUAUAGACGGCUGACUGAAACAAGCCUAUAGAAUUAUAUAUAAUUAUUGUAGUUUAUCCUUAUCUCUGUUUCACGGAGAGGUAAAUGAUGACCAGGGAGUUACAAAGCUUCAUAAGUUUCUUUGAACCCGGGAGGUGAAGGUUGCAGUGAACCAGGAUCACGCCACUGCACCGGGAUCGUGCCACUGCACUCCAGCCUGAGCGACAGACUCCGUCUCACCAAAAAAAAAGAGUAGCAUUGGCAAUUGUUGUCCUUAGCAGCAGCCGACAAGGCGGAAUUGGAAUGGUGCUGCUCCUGACUACCUCUACUCCACGCUAGGCUUAGGGGCUGGAGUGACCCAAGCCCUCAGGGACCUGCAGCGGCUGAAGUCCUCUCAGCACCUGCAAUAUCCCAGAGGGCAAAGACAGGGCCAAAUACUGGAUUCUGGAUUCUCUUCAUUGUUGUCCCCCUGCAAGUGGAGAGGUAUCCAGGCUGGGCCUUGUCCUAAGAUAUGAC
rnacentral:lncRNA from 1 species